rnacentral:rRNA from 1 species
AUUGAACGCUGGCGGCAGGCCUAACACAUGCAAGUCGAGCGGAUGAAGGGAGCUUGCUCCUGGAUUCAGCGGCGGACGGGUGAGUAAUGCCUAGGAAUCUGCCUGGUAGUGGGGGAUAACGUCCGGAAACGGGCGCUAAUACCGCAUACGUCCUGAGGGAGAAAGUGGGGGAUCUUCGGACCUCACGCUAUCAGAUGAGCCUAGGUCGGAUUAGCUAGUUGGUGGGGUAAAGGCCUACCAAGGUGACGAUCCGUAACUGGUCUGAGAGGAUGAUCAGUCACACUGGAACUGAGACACGGUCCAGACUCCUACGGGAGGCAGCAGUGGGGAAUAUUGGACAAAGGGCGAAAGCCUGAUCCAGCCAUGCCGCGUGUGUGAAGAAGGUCUUCGGAUUGUAAAGCACUUUAAGUUGGGAGGAAGGGCAGUAAGUUAAUACCUUGCUGUUUUGACGUUACCAACAGAAUAAGCACCGGCUAACUUCGUG